rnacentral:rRNA from 1 species
GCAUUGGGACUGAGACACGGCCCAGACUCCUACGGGAGGCAGCAGUGGGGAAUAUUGCGCAAUGGGGGCAACCCUGACGCAGCAACGCCGCGUGCAGGAAGAAGGUCUUCGGAUUGUAAACUGUUGUCGCAAGGGAAGAAGACAGUGACGGUACCUUGUGAGAAAGUCACGGCUAACUACGUGCCAGCAGCCGCGGUAAUACGUAGGUGACAAGCGUUGUCCGUAUUUACUGGGUGUAAAGGGCGCGUAGGCGGACUGUCAAGUCAGUCGUGAAAUACCGGGGCUUAACCCCGGGGCUGCGAUUGAAACUGACAGCCUUGAGUAUCGGAGAGGAAAGCGGAAUUCCUAGUGUAGCGGUGAAAUGCGUAGAUAUUAGGAGGAACACCAGUGGCGAAGGCGGCUUUCUGGACGACAACUGACGCUGAGGCGCGAAAGUGUGGGGAGCAAACAGGAUUAGAUACCCUGGUAGUCCACACCGUAAACGAUGGAUACUAGGUGUAGGAGGUAUCGACCCCUUCUGUGCCGCAGUUAACACAAUAAGUAUCCCACCUGGGGAGUACGACCGCAAGGUUGAAACUCAAAGGAAUUGACGGGGGCCCGCACAAGCAGUGGAGUAUGUGGUUUAAUUCGAAGCAACGCGAAGAACCUUACCUGGGCUUGACAUCCCUGGAAUCGAGUAGAGAUACUUGAGUGCCUUCGGGAAUCAGGUGACAGGUGGUGCAUGGUUGUCGUCAGCUCGUGUCGUGAGAUGUUGGGUUAAGUCCCGCAACGAGCGCAACCCCUAUUGUCAGUUGCCAUCAUUAAGUUGGGCACUCUGGCGAGACUGCCGGUGACAAAUCGGAGGAAGGUGGGGACGACGUCAAAUCAUCAUGCCCCUUAUGCCCAGGGCUACACACGUACUACAAUGGCCGAUGACAAAGUGCAGCGAAACCGUGAGGUGGAGCGAAUCACAAAACUCGGUCUCAGUUCAGAUUGCAGGCUGCAACUCGCCUGCAUGAAGUUGGAAUUGCUAGUAAUCGCGGAUCAGAAUGCCGCGGUGAAUACGUUCCCGGGCCUUGUACACACCGCCCGUCACACCAUGAGAGUCGAUAACACCCGAAGCCUGUGAGCUAACCGUAAGGAGGCAGCAGUCGAAGGUGGGGUUGAUGAUUGGGGUGAAGUCGUAACAAGGUAACCGUACUAGU